rnacentral:rRNA from 1 species
UACGAAGGUGGCAAGCGUUACUCGGAUUUACUAGGCGUAAAGGGCAGGUAGGUGGUCUGAUAAGUCUGUUGUGUAAGCUCCCGGCUUAACUGGGAGAGGUCAACAGAUACUGUCAGGCUGGAGCAUGGGAGAGGGUACUGGAAUUCCCGGUGUAGCGGUGAAAUGCGCAGAUAUCGGGAGGAACACCAAUGGCGAAAGCAGGUACCUGGACCAUUACUGACACUCAGCUGCGAAAGCUAGGGGAGCAAACAGG